rnacentral:rRNA from 1 species
UGGGGAAUUUUGGACAAUGGGCGAAAGCCUGAUCCAGCAAUGCCGCGUGUGUGAAGAAGGCCUUCGGGUUGUAAAGCACUUUUGUCCGGAAAGAAAUCCUUGGCUCUAAUACAGUCGGGGGAUGACGGUGCCGGAAGAAUAAGCACCGGCUAACUACGUGCCAGCAGCCGCGGUAAUACGUAGGGUGCAAGCGUUAAUCGGAAUUACUGGGCGUAAAGCGUGCGCAGGCGGUUUGCUAAGACCGAUGUGAAAUCCCGGGCUCAACCUGGGAACUGCAUUGGUGACUGGCAGGGCUAGAGUAUGGCAGAGGGGGGUAGAAUUCCACGUGUAGCAGUGAAAUGCGUAGAGAUGUGGAGGAAUACCGAUGGCGAAGGCAGCCCCCUGGGCCAAUACUGACGCUCAUGCACGAAAGCGUGGGGAGCAAACAGGAUUAGAUACCCUGGUAGUCCACGCCCUAAAGCGAUGUCAACUAGUUGUUGGGAUUCAUUUCCUUAGUAACGUAGCUAACGCGUGAAGUUGACCG